rnacentral:misc_RNA from 1 species
UUCUCUGACGCAGCAGACGACACCAGCGUCCCAAUGCCCUCGUGUGUUGCAAGUCACACUGCCAUAACAUGUAGUAAUCGGGACAGCAAUGUGCUAGCAAGUAUGCGAAGGAGUGGUGGGGGUGGGGGAGGGGGAGCAGGAGGGUUCAACAAACCACCCCCAGCUCCCCUCACCCACGGUGGAGCUGGCCGGGUGAGGCUCCACACCCCUGAUCUCACAGCAGUGGUCCUCAGCAAGGAUAGAUUUGGGCCAGCAAGGGAGAGAUCACCCAGCACCCUGCCACUCUCCCCGUCACAUCCUGCCAGUAGAGAGAAGUCUCCCAACCCAUCUUCUCACCACCUUGACCUCCAUGACUGCUCCAUGUGUCUCUCAGCUUACCUCCAGUCACUGAACACCGUAUGUGGAACAGCUUGUCGACUCUCCCAGUGCUUGGCACAGGCAUGUGGAGAGGAGACUGGACCAAGUCUUGCUAAAGAGGUGGCUGAAGCAUGGGAGGGUGUGGCCCGGGCAGUGGGAGUAGCCUCUGCUGCUGUGAAAUCCCAAAUGCUAGUGUUGGUGCAGGAAGCGCAGAGCAAUCGCCAAGACCUGGGAAUCUCUCAGUCAGACCGUAGGGCUGACCUACAACGGGUUGUGUUGACUAUGCUAUCAGCCUUCCUGGGGCUGCAGCAGCAGUUUUCGGUGGCUGUGCUAGAACGUUUUUCUGGGGUGGUGGCAGGCCUUAGGGAGGAAGGACUAAAGCAGGGUUUUAGCCUCCUCUCUGACCUCCCUGCCUCAGCUCAGCACCUGCAUCAUGGGACAGGUGCCAGGGAGAGCCCCAGUCUGGAAGAUAAGACUCCUGGUCGUCCACCCUCAACUUGUAGUUCCAGAUCCCAGACUGCCUGGACUGGUCCAGCUAGUCCUGGGGCUAGCACCCUCUCUCCUGGAACCUGCCACACCCUUACUCCUGGCUCAGCCUGGCCCCCUGAUGCCAUUUCACGUCGCUGGUCCAUGGUGGAUGGGUGGUCCAGUCUGGGCUCCUUUAGUCUGUUAGCCAGUCGACGUUGGUCUGUACCUGAGGCUGAUGGGGAAGGUGGGACUGCCACUGGGGCUGGGCCCUGGGGCGGCUUAACACCCACUUCUAGAGACAGUAGUGUCACCCGCAGUCCAACACACAGCCGAUCCACCACUCCCGGUAACAUUGCUAGUGAUCCAAAUCGGCAGAGUACCUUCAUCAGCAACGAGGAGCUGCAGGACGUGAUAGAUCUGCUCUCCAUUCCUCUCUUUGAUGCCCCUGCAGCAGGAAAGGUAGGGGAAGGAGGUCAGCAUGGCUUUGAUGGUGGAGGAGGUCCUGGAAGGAACAGUUUUGAUGGUGGAGUUGGUGGGAGAAAUAGCAUCGAUAGUGGAGGAAGAAACAGCUUUGAUAGUGGACUAGGAGGAAGGAAUAGUUUUGAUAUUGGUGGAGGCAGCAGAAACAGUUUUGAUGGAGGAGGAAGUGGAGGAAGAAAUAGCUUUGAUGGAGGGGGAGGUGGGAGAAGCAGCUUUGAUGCAGGAGGAGGAGGAGGAAUAUCUCCAGUAGGUCUGAGUCCAACGCAUCACCUUCACCAGCAAAAUCCCAUCCACUCAAGCCAUCAUCCCUCCAUUGCUCAGCUUUUUGAAGAAGCAACAAAACAGCAACAGCAGCCGUCAUCCAUGAAGCCACCACAGUCCCCACAGCAGUCACAGUACCGUGACCAACAUCAGUCUUCACAGCAACAAUUGCCUUAUCACCAUCACCAUCAUCAUUCCCACCAUCAACAGCAGCAGCAAAAACAGCAGCAACAACAGCAACAACAACAGCAACAGCAGCAACAGCAACAACAACAGCAACAGCAACAGCAGCAGCAGCAGCAACAACAACAACAACAGCAGCAGCAACAGCAACAGCAACAGCAGCAACAACAACAACAACAACACCAACACCAUCCUCACCCUCAUCACCACCAGCAACAUCACCAUCCACACCAUCAGCACCACCACCAUCAUAGCAGUCAGUCACAGCCAUCUUUCAGCCAUGGUUCAACUCCCAGCACCAGGUGUUCCUUGGGAGAGAUAGUGGUUGAAGCCCCUGAUGCAGGCUCUCACGUCAGCACGCCCCUGUGGCCCCCAUCAGGAAUUGCCCCAGGUGUGACAUUGACGGAGUGUCCUGGAGCCAGUGGGGAUCAGGAUUCACCACUGCCGCCAUGGACAGAGGGCGUGGGGUGUGAGCGGCGGGGGGGUGGGGGGGUACAGGCCCGGGAAUCAGCCCACCGAGCCUCCUGGCCCGCUGCAGCCCCUCCUCCCUCCCUCCUGUGGGCUGGUCUGGAGGGCUUGACCACAGCAGGUGAGAGGCCAGGAGGAGGGGAAGAUGAAGGACUAGCAGGGACAAGCAGUAUCUCUCCCACCUGCUCACCCCAGUACCGGCGACACUCAACAGACACUACUCAUUUGGCACCCCUCCAUCCCCACCAUUUAGCUGCCACCUCCACCACCACCCGUGGUACUGCUGCUGCUGCUGCUGCCGCUGCUGCCACUACUGCUUCUGCCACAAUAUCCAAGACACGAAGUACAGACAACAUUGCUCAGGUGCGUGCUGGAGGGAGCUGCCAAGGAAGUGGUCCAGGAGGAAGCUGUCUAGAUUCCAAUCUUCAACACCUCCUUCUCCUCAACUCCCUUCUGCCAGCUUCAUCUCCUCCUUCCCCAACUUCACAAUACUCCCUUUUCACAUCAUGAGGAUGCCCCAAUCACAGUAGCAUGCAAGCUACUGAUCACUGGUAUUCCAACAAGUGACGGUUCCCUCACUCCAACUUUCUAGUCAUCUUCAGGACAAGACGCAGGAUGACUGGCGGUCAUAGACAAUCAGACGAUCUCCGUUCCACCUUUUUGAAGCCUCGAAAACUGUGAUGGCAGCCUCCAGCCAUGACUGAGUGGUGGUGCUGGGCUAUGGGUUCCUUGUCAUACCCCUGCAUUGCUCUGUCAAGUUGGGUGACACCACAACUUACCAGCAAUACUGCCCAUCACUCUCAAGGUCCAGUUCGGAGUCUGCUUCUCUCAAAAUCACAUCUAUUCCUUCAUAGACCCUGUACAAGAGUAAUGGCUUGAAGGUGUUCACUUCAUAUUUCAAAGCAAUACAAUGAGCGUUGCUGUCUUUACUGAUCUGACGCUGAACAUUGGCGCUUGUGGUAGCAGAGGUGACUACACUGGUGGUGGCAGGAGCUGUGGUGGUUUGUGUGGUGGUGGUGGUAAAGGAGGGAUAAGAGGUGGAGCCAGAGCGCUCCUUCAGGGAGGAGAAGGAGAGCCAACUUGGUCUUGGCCAGUUCCAGCUCCAACUCCCGCACCUGCUGCUGGAGUCGGGUUACUGCAGGAGACUCCUCCAGACCCAUCUCUACUGUCGGGCCACAGACGGGGGAGAGCAAGGCACUGCACUUCUCACAUGAAGCCACCUUAGCCUGCAACACAACACAAUUAUUUUACCAACAAUUUAAAAAAUACAGUUUAAACUUCUGUAGGUACAUGAAUAUAUUUAGAAAAGAGGAAGCUAAUGAGACAUUAAUACCUCACAUAUACCUAUUACUAUAUGUAUAAGUGAUAAUGAAUAAUAAAAAUGAUGUAGUGAU